rnacentral:lncRNA from 1 species
AAAAAGGUCCAUAUGCAGCAAAAUGAAACUAAGCCCCUGUCUCUCACCAUGCAUAAAACUCAACUCAAAGUGGAUCAAGGACCUGGGAAUUACCAGAGACCUGCACCUAAGAGAGGAAAAAGUAGGCCCAAAUCUUCAUCAUGUUGGAUUAGGCCCCAACUUCCUUAACAAGAUUCCUAAAGCACAGGACAUAAAAUUAAGAAUCAAUAAAUGGGAUGGAUUCAAACUAAAAAGCUUCUUCUCAACAAAAGAAACAAUCAGUGAAGAGAGAACCUACAGUAUGGGAGCAAAUUUUUACCACACGCACAUCAGAUGGAGCACUAACCUCCAGGAUAUAUAAAAAACUCAAAAAACUUAACACCAAAAAAAAAAAACAAAAAAAACAAACAAACAACCCCACCAAUAAAUGAGCUAAGGAGCUGAACAGACACUUCUCAGAAGAUAUACAUGCAAUCAACAAAUACAUGAAAAAGUGUUCAACAUCUCUAGUAAUCAGAGAAAUUCAAAUCAAAACUACUCUAAGAUUUCAUCUCAUGCCAGUCAGAAUGGCAGUCAUCAAGAGUACAAGCAACAAUGGGGCCGGGAUUGUAGCUCAGGGGUAGAGUGCUUGCCUAGCAUGUGUGAGGCCCUGGGUUCGAUUGUAGCACCACAUAUAUAUAAAUAAAAUAAAGGUCCAUUGACAACUAAAAUACAUACAUACAUACAUGAAUAUAUUUUAAAAGAAAGGGCUGGGGUUGUGGCUCAGUGGUAGAGUGCUCACCUAGCAUACAUGAGGCACUGGCUUUUAUCCUCAGCAACAGAUAAAAAUGAAAUAAAGAUAUUGUGUCCACCUAAAACUAACUAACUAAAUAAAUAUUUUUUUAAAAGAAUGCAAACAACAAUAGGUGUUAGUGAGGAUGUGGGGAAAAGGCACACUCAUACAUUGCUGAUGGGACUGCAAAUUGGUGCAAUCAUUCUGGAAAGCAGUAUGGAAAUUCCUUAGAAAACUUGGAAUGGAACCACCAUUUAACCCAGCUAUCCCACUCCUCAGUCUAUAUCCAAAGGACUUAAAAUCAGCUUACUAUAGUAACGCAGCCACAUCAAUGUUUACAGCAUCUCAAUUCACAAUAACUAAACUGUGGAAGCAACCUAGGUGCCCUUCAAUAGAUGAAUAGAUAAAGAAACUGAUACACAUAAUGGAAUAUUAUUCAGCAUUAAAAGAGAAUAAAAUUAUGGCAUUUACAGGUAAGUGGACAGAGUUGGAGAAUAUUAUGCUAAGCGAAGUAAGCCAAUUCCCAAACACCAAAGGCUGAAUGUUC